rnacentral:rRNA from 1 species
UACGGGGGGGGCAAGCGUUGUUCGGAAUUACUGGGCGUAAAGGGCUCGUAGGCGGCCAACUAAGUCGGAUGUGAAAUCCCCAGGCUUAACCUGGGAACUGCAUCCGAUACUGGAUGGCUUGAAUCCGGGAGAGGGAUGCGGAAUUCCAGGUGUAGCGGUGAAAUGCGUAGAUAUCUGGAGGAAUACCGGUGGCGAAGGCGGCAUCCUGGACCGACAUUGACGCUGAGGAGCGAAAGCCAGGGGAGCAAACGGG